CCAGGCUGGAGUUCAGUGGCGUGAUCUUGGUUCACUGCAACUUCUGCCUCCCGAGUUCAAGCGAUUCUCCUGCCAUUUGACCCAGUCAUCCCACUACUGGGUAUCAUCUACCUACAGAUGAAUCUCUUGUUGCUCAAUUGAAGCAGGAGAGUGAAAUUCUUCAAUUACCUGAGAAGAAUCAGCAUUGAGAAGGACAAUGGAGAAUAUGCUUCCCUCCAGGUUGUACAGCUGUAGAAUUCUGUAUUUGCAUCCCAGGCCUUUCAGCUCAGUGCCCAUCAUUACAUGAGCAUUUGGGACUCAUUCCCAUGCUACUUUGAGUCAGUCACCUGUCCCUGUUAAAGAAAAUUUUCUGGUGAUAAAACUCUUCUAGGAUAUGUUUAUUAUUUUUAUUCUUGGAGACUGAGUGUGUUAAAAGCCAACUUCUGAUAUGUAAAUAUUUCUGGUUACUGCCCAUAUCAGAGCACCAGCCUAGCCAUAACUUUCUAACAACCUCAACUGCCCCCAGAUGAUGUGUGAGUUUGCAGCCUGACCACCCAUAAAAGGAUCACCCUGGUCCUUCUAGGAUUCCCCAAGAAGAGUUUGCCAGCAACACAGGGAAUCCUUCUUAUUCCAGCGAUAACCUGCUCUGCGUGAGGGCUACAUGUUCCCAGCUGGUUGAAGAUCCUUGCUGACAGACUGCACAGUGAUGGAUAGCCACACACCCCUGUACUGCCAAGAUGGCCUAUAUGCUCCACGCCAUCCUUUGGGAGGAAGCAAAGUAGCAUUGCCAUGUCAGAAAACCUCGAAGUCAAGAAUAAUUUGAAAUGCUGCAUCGUUUUUAAUCCUGAGAGACAGAAUAAGUAAUUGAUUCUUUCCAGCUCACAAAUUUGUAGAACUAUUCCGACUCAGUUUCAAUGGAAAUUAAUGCUAGACUUGAUUAAUAUGUGUUGCUUUUGAAUUAUGUACUAUAAAACUCCUAAGGACAAAACAACUUUUUAUGAAGAAUUUAUAAGUCAUCUGUCUAUAAUACAAGUCAGGUGUGUCAUUCUUUCAAUUACCAAGAUGUUCUCCCUUUACCAAACUUUAGUUAGGCUCCUCCGAGUUCUCUUUUUAAUUAGACUUCAACCUUUGGACUUUCAUGUUCAUCUGUACAUCACUCAGUUUUAGCAAGAAUCUUGUCAAGUUGGUUUAGUUAGAAUCCCACCCCUAUAACUGAUCAUCCUCAAUAUCUGAUCAAAUUUUUCAGUCCCCAUCACCCCUUAGGUGAUAUCUGAUUAACCUGGCCUGCCUUCAGCCAGGAAUUCUGUUAGGUCAGUUUAGCAAGAAUUCCACCCCCACUCCUCAAUCCCCGCCUUAUCUCUGAUGUUUCCAUCUUCUGGCCCCUCCUCUGCUUCUUAGUUAUAAAUCCUCACUUGUCCACGCUGUAUUCAGAAUUGAGCCUAGUUCCAUACUGAGGUAUUUUCCCCCUAUUGAAAUAGGUCCUGAAUACAAUAUAUUGUAACUGCUUUAAAUACUGUCUGCUUCUGGAUUUCUUUGUUGAAAUAAAACCAAAUUGUCCAGGUAAAACUUCAGUUUGUUUCUAAGCUGACUUCUGGAAAAAUUGAGCUUUACAAACACAUGCCAAGGCUCCUAUUUGAGUUUUCAAGUCAGAUAAAGAAAUCAAAAUUUAAUGUCUCCCAGAAAAGUGAAAAGUAUGAGAGAAAAUCCCUGAACAAAUCGAGCCCUUUUAUGUGAACAAAAGAUGUGACUAGAAGAGUCUGGCACAUAAGUAUGCAUAUAAUUAAAAAGAAAAAAGAACUUUCACAAAGCACUUACAUUGGCAACAUAAGCACACAUGUUUUUGAUUGAAUUGACAAGUUAUUAUUCUUUGGUUCCAACAUAUUAAUUAAAAAAUACAACUUGAGAUUGCAAAAAAAGAAAAUCAAGAAGAUAAAAUGAGAAAAAGAUCCAGUGGCUCAAAACUCUCCUUUAUUUAUAAGCCAGAAACCUGAAAAUUGUCUUUGAAUUUUUCUCUGUCAAAUCUCUAAUUAAUUAUUGACCCUUGCCAAUUUUCCCAUCUGAAUCUCUCUUGAAUUCAUAUACAUUGUUCCCACUUUUAGUAGUAAUACUCUGAUCUAGACUAUAAUAAUUUUUUACCUGUUUUGCACCAUGGCACAAAUAACUUCUCUCCUUUACUCCAAAUUGCAGUUUACUUCCCACACCAAAAGGAGACUAAUAUUCUUAAAAUCAUAUAUUCAUCCUUUUAAGAUGAAUGACAUUCAAAAAUGUCGGUCCCCCCAUAAGAGUGAGAAAAAGUUGGAUAAAUGUCAAGUUAUAGCUUUUAUGAGUCAUCCAAAGAACUGAGGUCAUAAGGCAACUGAGUAUUCUGAACUUUAGGAAAUGACAGAACCCUCAAAGAAGAGCUGGGACAAUGAGCAAAGCCAACACACAAGAGGGUAAAAAGAAAUUGAACAAUUUUCUAAACAUCAAAUGUGGAUAGCUUGUCAGUCUAGAAUAUCCUGAAGCCCCUGAUACAAGGGGAGUGAGUAACCUUUUGCAAGAUAUUUUCCUUGGACUUCCGCUAGGUGCUCCUACAAAAGUUUAGAAAUCCUGACGAAGGCCAGAGAGAGCCAUACUGGUGGUGAAGACGUGUAGGAGAAAGAGCAGCAGGCAAGCAAGACAUGAAUGACGACAACAAAUACUAUGCAGUUCCAGAGAACCUUCUUUCUUUUGAUACAAUAGUUUAAACUUCUGGGGAAGUAGCAGCAGACCUAAUGCUCUCUUCUUCCACUAUCUAAAUUGAUUUUCCCUUCAUGAUAGACUUCUUUCAAUAACUUGCAUUUCCCAUGAUUUCUCUCUUAAGGCUUCUGCAUACACCAUUUCCUCUGCCUAGGAAAUUGCUAUCUACUUCUGUGUAAUUUGUCUUCUAAUCUUUCAAACGUAUAUUUAAUUUUGAUGCUACUUUCCAUUAAUAAGUCCUCAUUGCCUCACUCAACUUAUUUGUACCUCAAGGUUUAAGCAUGUGUCUUAGAUACUUCAUCUAUUAUUUUAUACACUUUUUGUAAUAUUUACUGUUACUGAUUGUUUCUUCUAGACUGUAAGUUUCCUGAGAACAUAAACUACCUCCAUCUUGCACAAAUUUGUAUGCCCAGUACAAAGCACAGAAGAUUUAAAUUGCUGUUUAAAAGUUAUUAAACAGAAAAAUUGUUUACUACUAUUGAUGAAUAAAAAGUGCACAGAUUUUCUUAGAAAAAACUGUAUGCAUAUACUUCCAUGAAAAAUACUUUGUUGAACCUUAGGUCUAGCCAUAAUGAUCUCACAUUCUACACCAUUUCUAGGCAUUUGCACCUUCCUAAUAAAUACUCUUUCUAAUGACUGCAUUCUGUACUAAAUUCUAUUUUUUUAAUAAAUGGCCCAGUGAUAACUCCUCUGAAGUUAUCAAUUGCCAUCAAAAUACCAUACAAACAUAAAACCUGGUAUUUACAUUGAUAACCUUGCUUCUCAUUAAGAUUUUUUAUUUGCAAUAAUAGCUUACAUUGGAGAAUAUUAUCCAGUGGAAGAGGAUACAUAUUUGAUUAUCUCCGUAACAAGAAACAGAAAUUAUAGAACUAAUGCCAGGCAUUAAAAAUUCGUAAGAGAAAUUAUACUAUCAUCUUGAGGAAGCAGCAAAGUUUCAUGAUAGUUUUAAUACACUAAGUAUUUUGUCUGUAAAAUAAAAUUGAAUAUUUUUACAAGAGCAUUCUCAAAUAGCACAUGCAUAGCCCACCUUAAUUGCUUUUUAAAGGCAUAUCAGAUCCUUGGGA
rnacentral:lncRNA from 1 species